GCCAACACUAGCCCCAAGCAUAAUCAACACUAAUAACAAACCAACACACACUAAACCAUUCACCCAUACAAAGUAUAGGCGAUAGAAAUUUUAAUCUGGCGCUAUAGAUAUAGUACCGCAAGGGAAAGAUAAAAACCACCCAAGCACAAAACAGCAAGGACUAGCCCCUGUACCUUUUGCAUAAUGGAUUAGCUAGAAACAAUUUUACGAAGAGAACUACAAGCCAAAUUCCCCGAAACCAGACGAGCUACCCAAAAACAGCUAAAAGAGCACACCCAUCUAUGUGGCAAAAUAGUGGGAAGAUUUUUAGGUAGAGGUGACAAGCCUACCGAGCCUGGUGAUAGCUGGUUAUCCAAGACAGAAUCUUAGUUCAACCUUAAGCUUACCUACAGAACUUCCUAAUCUCCCUGUAAGCUUAAUUGCUAGUCCAAAGAGGGACAGCUCUUUAGACACUAGGAAAAAACCUUACAGAGAGAGUAAAACCCCUCAAUUACCAUAGUUGGCUUAAAAGCAGCCAUCAAUUAAGAAAGCGUUCAAGCUCAACAUUUACGAUCUCAAAAAUACCAAACACAUAACUGAACUCCUCACAUCACAUUGGAUUAAUCUAUCACCAUAUAGAAGCAAUAAUGCUAGUAUAAGUAACAUGAAUACUUUCUCCACCGCAUAAGCCUAAAUCGGACCGAAAGCCUCACCGACACUUAACAGCCAGGCACAGCAAACACAAACAAGCCCAUGCUACCUUCACUGUUAACCCAACACUGGCAUGCCUCAAGGAAAGGUUAAAAAAAGUAAAAGGAACUCGGCAAACUCAAACCCCGCCUGUUUACCAAAAACAUCACCUCUAGCAUUACUAGUAUUAGAGGCACUGCCUGCCCGGUGACAUACGUUUAACGGCCGCGGUACCCUGAC
rnacentral:rRNA from 1 species